rnacentral:rRNA from 1 species
GGUGCGUAACACAUUGGUAACCUACCCCAAAGACGGGAAUAACCCAAGGAAACUUGGAUUAAUACCCGAUAUGCUUGACCUUCACAAGUUGGUCAAGUAAAGCUCCGGCGCUUUGGGAGGGGCCUAUGGUUUAUCAGCUUGUUGGUGGGGUAAAAGCCCACCAAGGCUACGACGAAUAGCGGGUGUGAGAGCACGACCCGCCUCACUGGGACUGAGACACUGCCCAGACUCCUACGGGAGGCUGCAGUCAAGAAUCUUCCCCAAUGCACGAAAGUGUGAGGGAGCGACGCCGCGUGAAUGAUGAAGCCCUUCGGGGUGUAAAGUUCUUUUAUUAGGGACGAACUAAUGACGGUACCUAAUGAAUAAGAGGCUGCUAAACUAGUGCCAGCAGCAGCGGUAAUACUAGUGCCCCAAGCGUUAUCCGGAUUUAUUGGGCGUAAAGCGUACGUAGGCGGUUUAUUAUGUCGGUGGUAAAAUCCCAAGGCUCAACCUUGGAUCUGCCACCGAAACUGAUAGACUAGAGGAUGGGAGAGGCAAGUGGAAUUGCUGGUGUAGGGGUAAAAU